UACGUAGGGGGCAAGCGUUGUCCGGAAUUAUUGGGCGUAAAGCGCGCGCAGGCGGUCAUUUAAGUCUGGUGUUUAAGACCGGGGCUCAACCCCGGUACGCGCGGGAAACUGGGUGACUGGAGUGCAGGAGAGGGGAGUGGAAUUCCACGUGUAGCGGUGAAAUGCGUAGAGAUGUGGAGGAACACCAGUGGCGAAGGCGACUCUCUGGCCUGUAACUGACGCUGAGGCGCGAAAGCGUGGGGAGCAAACAGG
rnacentral:rRNA from 1 species